CCUACGGGUGGCAGCAGUGAGGAAUAUUGGUCAAUGGCCGGAAGGCUGAACCAGCCAUGCCGCGUGAAGGUCAGUGCCCUAUGGGCGUUAAACUUCUUUUGUGCGGGAGCAAUAAUGGUCACGUGUGGCCAGACGAGAGUACCGUACGAAUAAGCAUCGGCUAACUCCGUGCCAGCAGCCGCGGUAAUACGGGGGGUGCAAGCGUUAUCCGGAUUUAUUGGGUUUAAAGGGUGCGUAGGCUGUGAGGUAAGUCAGCGGUGAAAUGCCCCCGCUCAACGGGGUGAAGUGCCAUUGAUACUGCCUUGCUGGAGUGCGGAUGCGGUGGGAGGAAUGUGUGGUGUAGCGGUGAAAUGCAUAGAUAUCACACAGAACACCGAUUGCGAAGGCAGCUCACGAAUCCGCGAUUGACGCUGAUGCACGAAAGCGUGGGUAUCAAACAGGAUUAGAUACCCUAGUAGUC
rnacentral:rRNA from 1 species